GUAUUAGUUUACAGGUUCACAGAAGCUAUUAUACCAUGCAAUGUCUAGCCGAGAUUGCAAAAUAAUUAGCUACAAUGGCUGAUUCUGAUGAUUCCUCUUUCAAGAAGAGCUGGGUGCUGACAUUUAUUUUAAUUUGAUUUUACAUAGGAACAUACAGCCCUAUUUAUUUGAACUGGAAUACGCUGAGGAGGAGUUGAGACACCGCAAAACAAUUAUUGUGAGAACAGCAAGCAGUGGGGACAGCCUAGACAAGGACUCAGCAGGGCAAAUGACAAACAACAUAUUCACUUGCCCUCUGACACCAGCCAUGUCUCUGCGUACCCCGGAGAUGCCAGGGAAAUCAUUAGGCGUCAAGGAUACAGAGGUUCAGCAACAAUUGCAGAUGACAGGCCAUUCAUCAAGCCCAUGGCAUCCGUUCCACCGCGUGCAGUCAUUCUCCAUCCUCCAGCGCUGCUCCUUCGAAGAGACAGUUAAUUACAAGACCUGAGCCCUAGGACCAUGCCCCAGGACUACCUGACAUGAUGACUCCUUGCUGUCCCCAGUCCACCUGGCCAUGCUGCUGUUCCAGUUUCAACUGACCUGAG
ensembl:lncRNA